rnacentral:tRNA from 1 species
GCUGUGGCUCAGUGGCAGAGCGCUUGCCUAGCGUGUCUGAGACACUGGGUUCGAUGCUCAGCACUGCA